rnacentral:sRNA from 1 species
UACUGAAAUGUUAAAAUUAGUGCUAC